rnacentral:rRNA from 1 species
CCUACGGGUGGCAGCAGUGAGGAAUAUUGGUCAAUGGGCGCGAGCCUGAACCAGCCAAGUAGCGUGAAGGAUGACUGCCCUACGGGUUGUACACUUCUUUUAUAAAGGAAUAAAGUGAGGCACGUGGGCCUUUUUGUAUGUACUUUAUGAAUAAGGAUCGGCUAACUCCGUGCCAGUAGCCGCGGUAAUACGGAGGAUCCGAGCGAUAUCCGACUUUCAUGGGUUUAAAGGGAGCGUAGAUGGGUUGUUAAGUCAGUUGUGAAAGUUUGCGGCUGAACCGUAACAUUGAAAUUGAUCAGGGCAUUAUUGAGUACAUUUGAGGUAGGCGGAAUUCGUGGUGUAGCGGUGAAAUGCUUAGAUAUCACGAAGAACUCCGAUUGCGAAGGCAGCUUACUAAACUGCCACUGACAUUGAUGCUCGAAAGUGUGGGUAUCAAACAGGAUUAGAUACCCCUGUAGUC